rnacentral:rRNA from 1 species
UGCUACCACUCAUGGAUAGCCUCGCGGCGUAUUAGCUAGUUGGUAAGGUAAUGGCUUACCAAGGCAGUGAUACGUAGCCGACUUGAGAGGGUGAUCGGCCACACUGGGACUGAGACACGGCCCAGACUCCUACGGGAGGCAGCAGUAGGGAAUCUUCCACAAUGGGUGCAAACCUGAUGGAGCAAUGCCGCGUGAGUGAAGAAGGUCUUCGGAUCGUAAAGCUCUGUUGUUAGAGAAGAACACGUGCUAGGUAACUACUAGCGCCUUGACGGUAUCUAACCAGAAAGUCACGGCUAACUACGUGCCAGCAGCCGCGGUAAUACGUAGGUGACAAGCGUUGUCCGGAUUUAUUGGGCGUAAAGGGAGCGCAGGCGGUCUGUUUAGUCUAAUGUGAAAGCCCACGGCUUAACCGUGGAACGGCAUUGGAAACUGACAGACUUGAAUGUAGAAGAGGAAAAUGGAAUUCCAAGUGUAGCGGUGGAAUGCGUAGAUAUUUGGAGGAACACCAGUGGCGAAGGCGAUUUUCUGGUCUAACAUUGACGCUGAGGCUCGAAAGCGUGGGGAGCGAACAGGAUUAGAUACCCUGGUAGUCCACGCCGUAAACGAUGAGUGCUAAGUGUUGGGGGCUUUCCGGCCCUCGGUGCUGGAGCUAACGUAUUAAGCACUCCGCCUGGGGAUUACGACCGCAAGGUUGAAACUCAAAAGAAUUGACGGGGACCCGCACAAGCGGUGGAGCAUGUGGUUUAAUUCGAAGCAACGCGAAGAACCUUACCAGCUCUUGACAUCUUCUGACAACUCUAGAGAUAGAGCGUUCCCUUCGGGGACAGAAUGACAGGUGGUGCAUGGUUGUCGUCAGCUCGUGUCGUGAGAUGUUGGGUUAAGUCCCGUAACGAGCGCAACCCUUGUUGUUAGUUGCCAGCAUUAAGUUGGGCACUUUAACGAGACUGCCGGUGAUAAACCGGAGGAAGGCGGGGAUGACGUCAAAUCAUCAUGCCCCUUAUGAGCUGGGCUACACACGUGCUACAAUGGAUGGUACAACGAGCAGCGAUCCCGCAAGGGCUAGCUAAUCUUUCAAAGCCAUUCUCAGUUCGGAUUGCACUCUGCAACUCGAGUGCAUGAAGUCGGAAUCGCUAGUAAUCGCGAAUCAGAAUGUCGCGGUGAAUCCGUUCCCGGGUCUUGUACACACCGCCCGUCACACCACGAGAGUUUGAAACACCCGAAGUCGGCCGGCCAACCC